ensembl:lncRNA
UGAUAAACCUGAAAUUUAUUUUACCACAAAACUCUGCACUUCACAAGAGUAUUCCUGGCAUACGAGACAAGAAUUCAACGGUGUGGUUUUACAUUCACAAGACUGGAGGUUUGGACGAUAUCUUCUCCUGACGGACACAUCAUCAGACCAAUCACAUUCAGUAUAUGAUCAUUCAGUUGUUCCUGUCGGCUAGGUUAUCAUUCGGCUGUAUCCUAUAGCUUUAAAAGAGUCGUACACGUAAAUCGUGUCUCCAUCUGUCACCAAGUGACUUAAUAAUAUGUUCAACCAAACAUCCAAACACAAAGAUACAAAUACAAAAGUAUUUUCACGUUGUUUUUGGGUCACAAAAUGACAAAGGAACUCUAAUUUGAUCAAAUAUUGAACAAAAAAAGCGAUCACAAAUGAGGGAAAUGUGGUUUACAGGGUUGUGCUUGGUAAGACUCUGGAGAGACACUUCAAUGACACCAAAUAGACAACAACAUAUGCACCACUUACACAUUUUACGAAUCAUUUUACGAAUCAUUUUACGAAUCAUGUCUUUGUCAGUCAUCAAAUCAAAUCAAAUUCUAUUUUAUUUGUCACAUACACACAUUUUUAUCAGAUAUGAUUACAGGUUUAGCGAAACCAGAAACACCUGUGGAAUGCUGUAGGAUUAAACACUCAAAUUGAUCUAACAGGUGGUAUCAGUCUCGAGGAACAGGAGAGAUACAUAAACAUGACCAGUAUACCUACUGCCAGUCACACAUAUAUAUAUAUAUAUUCCCAUUACCAGUUACUGUUCAGUCCUGUUUACAUGUAUAUCCUACUGCCAGUCACAUAUAUAUAUAUAUAUAUAUAUAUUCCCAUUACCAGUCACAUAUAUAUAUUCCCAUUACCAGUCACUUUACAUAUAUAAACCCACAUCGACCACUCUAGUACCCCUGCAUGUUGAAUAAGGGCACUGACCUGUAUAUACUUGCCUUCUCCUGUUCAUUUAACUCUCACCGUAGUUCUUGUGGGUUUUUAAUUUUCCAUUAUUAUUUAUAUUAUCUAUAUUAUUAUUAUUAUUAUCUAUAUUAUUAUUAUUAUGAUGAUGAUGAUUAUUAUUGUUAUUAUCAUCGUCGUCAUCAUCACUGCAUUGUUGGAAAAGAGCUGUCAAUGUAAUUUCACUGUGCUGGUUUACACCUGUUGUAUUCUGUGCAGUUUAGGUCCCACUUGUUGAAUAAUGGGUAAAAAAAAAUCACAUGGGUUUGCGCAUAAACCAGAAACACGUGUGAAUGCGAUAGGAUUAAACACUCAAAUUGAUUUAACAUGUUAAAAACAACACAAGCAACACUAAUAUGGGAUUUUCCAUAGAGACCUUUUGCUCUAUGGCCUUAUUCUAUAUACUGAUCAUUUCCUUUCAGGGAGGAAAGUAAAGGGUCAUCGCAGACAAGACGAGAGAAUAGGGAAUAGAGAGGAGAAGGAUUCCAUAACCCCAGUCAAGGACUGGAAGACAGACGGAAUAUAAAAUAAUUGAUUCCAAAAGCUAGUCAAUGAAGCAGCCUUUAAUGAUUGUGUGUUGGACUGUGGACAGGAGCCAUGUGGUGAGAGUCAGAGGGGAGCUAGUGAAUAAAUAGACAGAGAGAGAGAGAGAGAGAGACAGAGAGAGAGAGAGAGAGACAGAGAGAGAGAGAGACAGAGAGAGAGAGAGACAGAGGGAGAGACAGAGGGAGAGAGAGAGACAGAGAGAGAGAGAGAGAGAGAGAGAGAGAGAGACAGAGGGAGAGAGAGAGACAGAGGGAGAGAGAGAGAGAGAGAGAGAGAGAGAGAGAGAGGGAGAGACAGAGGGAGAGACAGAGAGAGAGAGAGAGAGAGACAGAGGGAGAGAGAGAGACAGAGAGAGAGAGAGAGAGAGAGAGAGAGAGAGAGAGAGAGAGAGAGAGAGAGGGAGAGAGAGAGAUAGAGAGAGAGAGAGAGAGAGAGAGAGAGAGACAGAGAGAGAGAGAGACAGACAGAGAGAGAGAGAGAGAGAGAGAGAGAGAGAGAGAGAGAGAGAGAGAGAGAGAGAGAGACAGAGAGAGAGAGAGAGAGACAGAGAGAGAGAGACAGAGAGAGAGAGAGAGAGAGACAGAGAGAGAGAGAGAGACAGAGAGAGAGAGAGACAGAGAGAGAGAGAGAGACAGA